GAUGUCGAUGAGUGUGCCGAUCAGCCAACCCCGUGCCCCCAAAACAUGGACUGCCUCAACACACCUGGGUCAUUUAUGUGCACAGACCUGGACCUGUCCUCCCUGUCUGCAGUCUCAGUAAUCUCUGCUGUAAUAGCUGUGGUUGGUGGUGUGGCCAUCAUGUUCGUGAUACUGGCCUGUUGUAGAAGGUAUUUUCCAAAGAAGCCAGAACCGAUAAACAGAACCGAUAAACAGAACCGAUAAACAGUGGUUUCUGUAAGAGGGACAGAUAACCAAGCGACACCUCUGGAAAUAUAGUCCUUACAUAUUUUAUUACAUUUUAGUAUUUUGUUUUAAAAAUGUGACAUAUAUCCUAAAAGUAUGCACUUGAAUGUGUUGAUAUUAAAACGUAACUUCAGAUUAUUUGUUAGAUAAUAACCUGAAAAUAAGAAAUAACUGAAUUGUAACCUCAUUUUAGACCACAGUCACAUUAUAUAUAAAACCUCAAAGGUC